UACGGAGGGGGCUAGCGUUGUUCGGAAUUACUGGGCGUAAAGCGCACGUAGGCGGCUUUGUAAGUUAGAGGUGAAAGCCCGGGGCUCAACUCCGGAAUUGCCUUUAAGACUGCAUCGCUAGAAUUGUGGAGAGGUAAGUGGAAUUCCGAGUGUAGAGGUGAAAUUCGUAGAUAUUCGGAAGAACACCAGUGGCGAAGGCGACUUACUGGACACAUAUUGACGCUGAGGUGCGAAAGCGUGGGGAGCAAACAGA
rnacentral:rRNA from 1 species